rnacentral:tRNA from 1 species
GCCCAGGUGGUGAAAUUGGUAUACACGCAAGACUUAAAAUCUUGUCACUUCGGUGGUAUGGGUUCGACUCCCAUCCUGGGCA